rnacentral:lncRNA from 1 species
AGCAGCAGUGAGAGCCGAGCUGUGGCAGACACAUGCUCUUCCCCUGACUCACGGCUGCCCAGUUCCCUCCAGCGAGGCUGCUGACCUAUUUUUCUAUUAGGAACAACCAGCCAAUGUGAUAAUGAGGAAAAUGUAUUCUGGCCCCUAUGAAGUUUAGUGAAGCCCGAAUGAAGUGGAGGAGGCCACGGAGAUGCACGAGGAAGAGCAUUCCAGGCAGAGGGAACAGCGAGGACAAAAGCCCCCGGGCAGGAAUGGGUGUGCAAGCCUGAGAUCCAACAUGGCGGAGAGCAAGCCGGAAGUGCUGCGCGGGGAUCCUAAGGGAGCACUGAACAGGACAAGCUCAGUUUUGUCCCUCAAACCUCCACAAUCAGAUGUUUCAGUGUCUUCCAGCCCCCUCGUUUCUGAUGAGAAGUUAGCAGCCAUUCCAGGCUUUUCCUUCUGUUGUCUGGCACUGGUGGGUUCUUGGUCUCAUUGACUUCAAGAAUGAAGCCGUGGACCCUUGCGCUAUUUUACAUAAGGAAAGUGGGUGGUGAUUAACCUCAGAGUCUCCAGGGACAGACUAUCCAGGACUGUGCCUGAAAUAGAAGAGGAAUUAACAUCAUACAGAACUGAAUACGGUGACUGAGGGGAGUUUGUGUCUCCCCUUUUAGGAAAGAAGAUGAGAAUAAGUAUGAAGGAGAGUCAUGUACUGUACAUUAAGCAAAAGCAUGAUGCUGUUAUUUGAAAUGUUAAUUAGAGGUGCCCACUAAAAACUGCUCAGCAAUUUUCUUGGA